CCUACGGGAGGCUGCAGUCGAGAAUCAUUCACAAUGGGGGAAACCCUGAUGGUGCGACGCCGCGUGGGGGAAUGAAGGUCUUCGGAUUGUAAACCCCUGUCAUGUGGGAGCAAAUUAAAACGAUCGUACCACAAGAGGAAGAGACGGCUAACUCUGUGCCAGCAGCCGCGGUAAUACAGAGGUCUCAAGCGUUGUUCGGAAUCACUGGGCGUAAGGCGUGCGUAGGCUGUUUCGUAAGUCGUGUGUGAAAGGCGCGGGCUCAACCCGCGGACGGCACAUGAUACUGCGAGACUAGAGUAAUGGAGGGGGAACCGGAAUUCUCGGUGUAGCAGUGAAAUGCGUAGAUAUCGAGAGGAACACUCGUGGCGAAGGCGGGUUCCUGGACAUUAACUGACGCUGAGGCACGAAGGCCAGGGGAGCGAAAGGGAUUAGAUACCCCAGUAGUC
rnacentral:rRNA from 1 species